rnacentral:rRNA from 1 species
AGCUUGCUUUUUAAGCUUAGUGGCGGACGGGUGAGUAACGCGUGAGUAACCUGCCUUGUACAGGGGGAUAACAGUUGGAAACGGCUGCUAAUACCGCAUAAGCUCACAGAGCCACAUGGCUCAGAGAGAAAAACUCCGGUGGUAUAAGAUGGACCCGCGUCUGAUUAGCUAGUUGGUGAGAUAACAGCCCACCAAGGCGACGAUCAGUAGCCGACCUGAGAGGGUGACCGGCCACAUUGGGACUGAGACAUGGCCCAGACUCC